rnacentral:lncRNA from 10 species
CUCUAAAGCAUUUACAAGUGUUGUCAUCUUAUCUUUUGGGCUGUAGAAAUUUGAAAGCUGUUACUUGGAAAAGUGGAGCCUCUGAGAAGCAGGCAUACUGAUAUCGGAAAUGACAGGUGACAACCUGACCACAAAAAUGAACUGGAAACCAAAGUACAACAUUGGCAGUCAUAAUGGUGACUGAUCAUUAAUGGAAAGGGAGGCAAAAAGAGGAUCAGGUGACAUCUGCACACAUAGGAAAGAAACUUGAGCUUAGAGAACUCAAAUCUUUUAGAAAAGAGUCUCAUUCUGUCACCCAGAAUGGAGUGCACCGGUGCGAUCUCUGCUCACUGCAACCUCUGUCUCCCAGGCUCAAGCGAUUCUCCUGCCUCAACCUCCCGAGUAGUUGGGACUACAGGUGCUGAGUUCUGCAUUUCGUGACACCAGUUAUGGAAUGGGUGACCUUAAUUGUCUACUGCAUGUUUCCUGGGCCGGAAUGCCAAUUGGAUAACAGGAGGGUCAUGGUUGCCCUGUGGACAGGUUGAUGGAAAGUUGUAAGCCAGGACUUGGCUGACGCAGAAGAAGACAUAGACUGCAAAAACUGAUUGAUCAUGAAAAGUAAACUUGCAAAGGACAGCACGCAUGCACUCUGAAGCCUACAGGAGAGGUGCUCACACUUACACCUCCCAUGGCUUUAUUGCCAUGCUUUAUUCAUUCAUUUCCUUAGUAUGCCCCAAUAGAUGAUGGUGGACACAAGCAUUUGAUGAUAGUUUCUUAACCAAUUUCUACCUCUUAAACAACUCCUGAAUAAUAAAAAACAAUAAAUUUUAUCUAUAGAGAUGAAAAGAUCUUAGAAAUUAUUUGAGGUAGUUCACCUUAAUGAGAAUGAGAAGGAAAAUAAGUUGCCCAAGGUCAUAGAGAUUUUAAGGCACAUAGAGUCUGUUUUAAGGUACGUAGAGUCUGUGUAUGCACAUUAUCUCAUUUAGUCUUCAUUGUGUCUCUGUGAGGUAGUCGUGGAAACUGGCAUAAUUGCUAUUUUAUUGAGGAGAAUGUUGAGUUUCAGAAAUUUUAAUACCCAACAUAAGAAGAAAAGUGAGGUAUAAAAUCAGGUCUUGAACUCAGAGCUUUAACUCCUCCUGCAAUAUUCUGUGGCCUCUGAGUUGUGCCCAGAAUGAGAAUUUUAAUAAACCCUGGCCUGUAUUAGCUUCCUACUAUUUUUACUAAACCAUUACUUUUUUUCCUUGAAUAAAACUUGGUAUGUUAGCUCACAAAAUCUGUUGUUCUAUUAUUCCAUGUUCUGUGUAAUUCUUACCAACAAACUUAUUAUUAUCAAUAAAGCAAACCAAAAAAAAA